rfam:Collinsella sp. CAG:289 genomic scaffold, scf22
UCGCUGUUUCAGGGCGGGGUGAAAUUCCCCACUGGCGGUAAAUCGGCCGGCGCAAUCCCGCGUCGCGUCCCCGGCAACGGUUGCCAGGUGCACAUCCGAUAAGCCCGCGAGCCUGGCUGGCAUUGGGUUGUCUGCAGGCCGAUCCGGUGAGAAUCCGGUGCCAACGGUUAGAGUCCGGAUGGAAGAGGCAGGUG